AUGACAGGUGCUUUCUCCUUCUUCUCCCAGGAGAAGGAGAUGGACGGAGCAUGGCGGCUGGAGCUCUGCAAUCAGCAUGGUUAUGAAGGCUCUGCUAGUAACAAGCAUGAUACGCCAGGGUGUGUUUUAUUCAGAGAAGCUCCUUUUGAAUCUUGCCAGGUAUAUAUCCAAAGUGUUAUACUGUAUAUUGCAAUAUGCAAGGUACCCCUAUUCAUCAGCUCAACUGCCUGGACAAACAGCAAGUUAAAUGAACCAACUAGCUGCAUCUGGUUCGCUUUAAUCAGUCCGUACAUUGAUGAGUUCCAUGCUUCUUCCCCAACACACGCUGGAUCUAGCUUGGAUGUAGACAAUUUGAACUCCUAA
rnacentral:rRNA from 1 species